CAAAAUAUAGUCAAAGACUGAGGAUGACCCUCUUUAAUCUAUAUUUACUGAUCAUUUGAGUUCUAAAGGCGAUCUAUUGAAUUCCUUAAGUAAGGGUUAAAUUGUUGAUAUUGGAAGACAUUCGAAAGCGGAAGCAUUUAUCGAUUUAGAUCUGACGCUAGGUACUAAAGUAUGGGUAUUAAAAGGAUUAGAGACCUUGUAGUCCAUACCUUAAACUAUGAGUGUUCAACGUCCUUUUGCAUUGGGGAAACUUUGUAAAAAGAUUUUUGCAUGGAGCUUAAGGGGGUUUAAAGCUAACGCGUGAAACACCGCCUGGGGAAUGUGGCCGCAAGGUUAAACUCAAAGGAAUUGAGGAGGCUUGUACAAGG
rnacentral:rRNA from 1 species